GGCAGCUUGUUAGGCAGCUGGCUGAACCCUCCGUGGAUUAAUUGGACCAAAGGUGAGCUGCAGAAAAAGAAUUUUUACGUCAUGCGAAAUAACAAGGGCCUCCGCUUUUCUGAACUGGAAGAGUCCAGCCAUGACACUCGACACAGGGGGCUGACCUCGGCCCCCCCCCCCGUAAGAGGAGAGGCCCCCGACGUGGUCACAUCCAGGGCCUUUGAUGUGCCGAGUCAACGGGUUCACUUCCUCGUCCGGCGGCUCUCACGUCCGCUCUGAUGGAGCUCCUGUUGCAGACCCUCCUGUCCCUGUUUAACUCGCUGGCCGGACUCCCGGUGGACCAACCAGCCCUCCGCCUGCUGUUUCCACUUUAAAUAAAAGGUCAAAGAACCCUGGAGUCGUGUGAUCGCAUUUGGGUCCACACACAAACCGCUAUAGCGGGAAUACGAGAUGUGAUUUACAGUUAUUUAAAUCUCCUCGUUUACGUUUGAUUCAUUUCCUUUUGCCCUCUGGCAGUUUUGAAGACAUUAAA